GCCCUUGUAGCUCAGUGGAGUAGAGCGCCUCGCUACGAACGAGGAGGUCGGAGGUUCGAGUCCUUCCAAGGGUG
rnacentral:tRNA from 2 species